AUUACCAAGGAGAAGAAAAGGACUAAUUUAGGAAGAUAAGCCAAAGUAAAGAGAAAGGAGUAACAGAAAAAAUACAAGGGGAAAAGAUAAUGAACCAGUAGGAUCCAAGGGGAAACCCGAACUCAGUGUCUCCAGUGUCGCAGACACAGAGACACUGGGAAAACAACCCUUUGAACAGAAACAUCUAAAGUAAAAGGAGGAAAAGAAAUCAACCGAGAUAAGCUGAGUAGUGGUGAGCGAAAGGGAAUAGAUCCGAGAGUCUACAAUAUAGAAUGGGAACGAAAAACCAACCAAAGAGGGUAAGAGUCCCGUAUAAAGAGUAGAGAAAAGAAGUAGAAUGAGAGAAAACUUAUUCGAAAAAAGGGGAACCAUCCUCUAAAGGUAAAUAAGUUACUUUGAGCGAUAGAGAAAAGUACCGUGAGGGAAAAUUGAAAAGAAAGUAUAUAACUGGUGAAAAGAACCGGAAUAAGUUAGUUUACAAGCAGUUGGAAGCGUGAGGCUGACAACGUACCUUUGGCAUAAUGGGUCAGCUAGUUGAUAGGUGAAGCAAGCAGGAGGGAACUAGAUGAGAAUAAAGAAAGUUUCAGUUAUCAGACCCGAAACCAAGUGAUCUUACCAUGAACAAGUUUAAGGACUGAACUGUAGUCUGUAGCAAUAGGCACGGAAGAUUUGUGGUAGGGAGUGAAAAGCUAAUCUCACUUGGAGAUAGCUGGUAUUCCGCGAAAACUAUUUAAGUAGAACCUUAUAAGAAGAAGGUGGAUUGAGUAUAGCACUGGAUACAAAAAUAAUAAUUAAUUGGGGAGCAAACAAAUCUCUAUCAAUUGUAUCUAAUCAACUAAAAGAUCCAUCAAAGAUUAGGAGUCAGACGGUGGGGGAUAAGCUCCAUCGUCAAGAGGGUAACAGCCCACAGGUCCGGAAAUAAGGUCCCAAAAAGCUGACUAAGUGAAAGGAAUAGAGAGAAGAAGAAGACAACCCUAAAGUGGGCUCGGUAGCGGCCAUCUAAGAAAGAAAGCGUAAAAGCUCAAGGGUCUAUUCUCCAAAGAUAGAAAAUGUAAGGGGUCUAAGUCAGAUACCGAAGCCGACCAACCGGCGAAGGCCGAUGUGGUAGCGGAACAAUCAGAGAGAUCUGAAGAGAGAAUGCUGACAUGAGUAACAAAAAAGAAUAUAAGAAUAAUUCUCGCCAGGAGGAGAAGGGUUGAAUAGCAAUAAAGAAUAGCUAUACGUAAAGUAACGGUAUCUAAGAGAAGAUCGAUGAAGAAAUCUUACUAAUUAAACACUAAUAAGUCAGGAAAAAUAAUUAGCAAUAAAUAAACCGUACCCUAAACCGACACAGGUAUCCGAAGCGGCGAAUGAGACAAUCAUCUUGAAGGAACUCGGCAAAUUACCUCUGUAACUUAGGAAGAAAGAGGGUGAUCCCAGGGAUCAUGACACAAAAGAGUAGGGAACGACUGUUUACUUAAAACACAAGACCUUGCUAAAACCUAUAUGAAUUGAUGUAUAAGGUCUGACACCUGCCCAGUGCUAGUAAGAGUGAAUAAUAAAAAUUUUACUCUCUAGUUAACGGCAGCCGUAACUAUGACGGUUCUAAGGUAGCGUAAUACCUUGACUACUAAUUAUAGUCUUGCAUGAAUGGUGUAACGACUUCCCUAGCUGUCUCCAAGAUGAACUCAGUGAAAUUGCAAUGGAGGUGAAAAUGCCUUCUACCCUUAGCUAGACGGGAAGACCCUUUGAAGCUUUACUGAAAAUAAAUAAAGUGGGCUAGCCAGAAAGAAAGGAAGGAUAGUAUCCGAUAAACCUCUCUUAGCAAAGAGUCCACGAAUAUAUGUUUAUAGGACAGUUUAACUGGGGCGGUAGCCUCCCAAAAGGUAACGGAGGCGUUCGAAGGUAGAGUAUUAAUUGAAUAGAAAUCAAUUAAAAUGUAUAAUGGCCUAACUCUGCUUAACAGUGAGUCUAACCAGACAAACUGAGAGGUAACUCGGACAUAGUGAUCCGAUGAUAACAGAAUGGAAUGGUCAUCGCUAAACGGAUAAAAGCUACUCAAGGGAUAACAGAUUAAUCAGUCCUAAUAGUUCGAAUAGAGGGACUGGAUUGAUACCUCGAUGUCGACUCAUCUUAUCCUCGGGCUGCAGUAGGUCCGAAGGGUUCGGCUGUUCGCCGAGUAAAAAGGUACGUGAGUUGGGUUAAAUACGACGUGAGUCAGUAUGGACCCUAUCUACUAAGGGAAUAGGAAUUAACUCUUAAUUAAAACCCAGUACGAGAGGAGCGGUGCUAGUGAACCAAUAGUGUACCUGAAAGAAUCAGGGAAGCCACGUUCAUAAAGGAUAACUACUGAAAGCAUCUAAAGUAGGAAACCAAUAAGAGAAAAUACCUAAAAGAGUCGGACUAGACUAGUCCGUAAUUAGGCCAACUAAUAAAAAAUAAUGUAAAUUAAUAAGUGAAGUGGUGCUAAGACUCGAAUAACUUGGUAAUCAAA
rnacentral:rRNA from 1 species